rnacentral:rRNA from 1 species
AGCGAACGCUGGCGGCAGGCCUAACACAUGCAAGUCGGGCGGCCGUAGCAAUACGGCAGCGGCAGACGGGAUAGUAACACGUGGGAACGCGCCCUUCGGUUCGGAAUAACUCAGGGAAACUUGAGCUAAUACCGGAUACGCCCUUACGGGGAAAGGAUUUAUUGCCGAAGGAACGGCCCGCCGUCGGAUUAGCUAGUUGGUGAGGUAAUGGCUCACCAAGGCGACGAUCCGUAGCUGGUCUGAGAGGAUGACCAGCAUCACUGGGACUGAGACACGGCCCAGACUCCU